rnacentral:rRNA from 1 species
AUUGAACGCUGGCGGCAGGCCUAACACAUGCAAGUCGAGCGGAUGAAGGGAGCUUGCUCCUGGAUUCAGCGGCGGACGGGUGAGUAAUGCCUAGGAAUCUGCCUGGUUGUGGGGGCUAACGUCCGGAAACGGGCGCUCAUACCGCAUACGUCCUGAGGGAGCAAGUGGUGGUUCUUCGGACCUCAUGCUAUCAGAUGAGCCUAGGUCGGAUUAGCUAGCUGGGGGGGUAUAGGCCUAACAAGGCGACGAUCCGUAACUGGUCUGAGAGGGUGAUCAGUCACACGGGAACUGAGACAGAGUCCACACUCCGGCGGGAAGCAGCAGUGGGGAAUAUUAGGCGAGGGACGAAAGCCUGAUCCAGCCAAGCCGCGGGAGUGAAGAAGGUCUUCGGAUGGGAGAACACUGUAAGUAGGGAGGAAGGAAAGUAAGUUAAUACCUGACUGUAUUGACGUUACCAACAGAAUAAGCACCGGCUAACUUCGUG